UUUAUUGGAGAGUUUGAUCCUGGCUCAGGAUGAACGCUGGCGGCGUGCCUAAUACAUGCAAGUCGAGCGAAUGGAUUGAGAGCUUGCUCUCAAGAAGUUAGCGGCGGACGGGUGAGUAACACGUGGGUAACCUGCCCAUAAGACUGGGAUAACUCCGGGAAACCGGGGCUAAUACCGGAUAAUAUUUUGAACUGCAUGGUUCGAAAUUGAAAGGCGGCUUCGGCUGUCACUUAUGGAUGGACCCGCGUCGCAUUAGCUAGUUGGUGAGGU
rnacentral:rRNA from 1 species